UUUGGACUUAAAGUGAUAUGUCCAGCACAUGUCACAUUUUGAAAGGACCCAUCAGGUAAAUGUGCAAGUUUUGGAUUUGAAAGAAGUAUGGUUUUGUCAAAAAAAUUGAGGGUCAGAAUUCAUAUAUGUAGACCCUUAUUUUGUGAUGAGUAUGUACAUUGAGGCCAUAGGAAACCUGAUGAUGAAAAAUUGUAUAACUGUAAGAUAUAAUUGAAGGCAUGAAACUGAAUUAUUAAUUCCGUGGCAUGAUCUUGAAAAAUAAUAAUAAUAAUAAUAUGCUUUUUGGAAAAUUAAUUUAAUUUAAAUAAAAUUUUGUUUUGUUUAAAUUUAAUAUGGGUAGUUCUUAAAUGGACCUAAUUAAGUUUAAUUGGACUCAAUGGGCCUAAGAAAGCCUAGUUAGGAAUUUUAAAUGGGACUCAUUUAAUUAUUUUCUGAAAAUUAAAAUAAUAAAAUAUCUCUCUCCUCCUUAGCCCCACUCUCUUCCUCACUCCCUAUUGGUGUCACCCCCUUUCCCUUUCUUUCUAUUGGUUGGAACACCUCACACAUAUUUCAGUCUCAUCCAAAUUCAUCAAUCCUAGUCAUUUAAGUUAUCUGAACUUUAUCACACUAGGACUCUAAACCCUACCACACCUCUUCCUCACUCCCUAUUGGUGCCUUCUAUUUUUUCCUGUCUUCCUAUUGGUUGAAACACCUCACCCAUAUCCCAGUCUUAUUCGAAUUCUGCAAUCAUACUUGUUUAAGUCAUCUAAACUUUAUCACCCUAAGACUCCAAACCCUAUCACACCUCUCUCCCAAAACCCUAUAAAUACCCUACUGGAGGAAAAAGAAGGGAGGAGGGGAGGAAAGAGGAAGAGAAAAUUCAAAGCUAUAAGAAAUUUAGAAAUAUUCAAGACUCUUUGAGUUCUUCCUUAUUUUUUCUUUUCUUCAAGAAGAUUUUCAUACAAGAUUUCUAGAAGGUCAGUUUUUAUUAUUUUUUUUUUAAGAUCUAUGCCAUGCAAUAUUUUAAUUCUAUGCCCUUUGUCUUCAAUUUAUUUUAUAUGCUCAUAUAGAUAAUGUAAUCAUGUUUAAUUUGAGGGGAUACACAACUCUGCACAUGUUUAGUUUCUGUCUCUUGUAUUUUUAUUAUUUUUCUUUAUCUUCUGAAUCUGUAAAAAAUUUGUAAAAAUUAUAUUCAUAUUCUACACGAAAUUCUAUUAAUUUUACGCUCUAGAAUCACAAAAAAAGCUUUAAUAUUUUGUAAGUUAUGGCUGUUUGAAAUUAGGGUUCCUAUAAAAUCUGAUUUGCAGGAUACCCGACUUGUGGAGCCCAUAUCUCCCUUGUUUCUUAAUAUUUUUGUGUAAAUCUAGUGUCUAAAAUUAAUUUUAGAAUCUUAUGAAUCUUUUCCAUUUGGUUUUGCAUUCAUAUCUAUUGUGGUUAAUAAGUUAUGAAUUUUAUAAAAAAAGUAGUACGAUUCUGUCACUUAGAAAAGUUACAAUUUAUGUAGACCAUUCGCCUAGGAUUUUGUUUGAUUUAUAAAUUUUAUAAUCUUGUAUGAUAUGUAGGCUAUCUUUUGUAAUUUUUUUUAUGAUUUUUAGGCACGUCUAACUAUUUUUAAAAAAUCGGAUUUCUUGCUACUGUUAAUCUGCCAGAAUUUGAAAAUUGUAUAUUCUUGUAUUUUCUUGGGUUUUAAUUGAUAUUUGAUCUAUUUUUCUUCUGUGUUCUUUUAAUUCAAGAAGUGUUAUGAAGUGUUUGGAUCAUGUUAGAAGACUUAGACCAUUAGGUAGUUGUAACUAAUUAGGAAUUUUAACCCUUUAGGAGACUAAAGUUAGAAUUCAAUGUAAAUUGUUAUUAAUAUUUUCUUUAUUUCUUUUAUUUUCUUUAGUUUCUUUAUUUUUUUAUUACAAAUAAAAUUGGUAAGUAGCCCUAAGGUAAGUACCAAAGAGGGCAUUUGUGUGGAGCUUAUGUGGAGCUAAACGGGAGUAAGCCAGGGAUAUCAUUGUCAUACUAGAAGAGAAGACCCUUUUUUAAAGGUAGCUUGCCCCAAUGGCAACUGCAUUUGCCAACAGGUGAUGACAAGUGUAAGUCAAUGUAAGAAGAAUGAUAGGAAGAUGCCGCCUGGGUUGAAAAGUUGCAUAUCUUUUGCACAUGGUGAUUCGUCUUACGAAACACUUUCACCCUCCCAAUCAGAAAAUUUUUCUGAUUAUGUUACACCUGAAGAUGGAUGGAGACAAGUUUCAAGGUCUAACCCUAUUUGCAAGCUCACUAGUAUUAUCAGUAUUGUUCGCAUUCAGAGACAAUCGUCUCCUACAUCGAAUAUUGGUAAAAAAAGACAACUUUUUAGAGCCAACUCUAAUCAUGCACCACCUGCCAUUACUGAUGCUCCAUCACUAUCUUCUCCUCCUCUAUCAAUUAUCGGAAAGCAGGCAAUCUUUAAGAACUAACAUUGAAAAUGAUCCAGUUGGUGUCAGUAAUGCUCCUUCAUUAUCUUCACCUGCUUCAAAUGUUGUCGGAAAAUAUUUUCGACCAAUUGGUGAACAUGGAAGAAAGUUGGCAUCAUGGUUAGGAUAUUGUGCAAGAUCUUGUGGUCCACCUAAGGAGCCUUGGAAUGCUAUUGAAGCUCGAUAUCGUACUCGUUUAUGGAGUAUGAUUCAGGAUUACUUUAAUGUAAGUCCUAAGAGUCCAGAAAAAUGGAAGAAGCUUGAGGAAAUGCAGAAGGCGAAGCCUGACACGGCUGAAAUAAAAAAAAAUAAAAAUUGAAAAAAAAAAAGCUAAGUUUGAAUUCUAUUGUUUCUAUGAGAUGAAAAUAUUAUAUCGCAAAUGGAAAUACAAGCCACACCUUAAGUAUUUGAAGUACUCAAGUGAUGAUGAACGACUGCAACAUGUUCCUGAAGGAUUGACUGUGGAUACUUAGAAGGAAAUGUUCAAAGUUUUUGCUAAUGAGGACUUUCAGAUGGAUGAGGAGAUUGGUGAAGUACCAUAUGCUUCUGAAGUCUAGAUGGCUACACAUGGGCUCUUGGAUGAGCAAGGCCAAACACAAUGGCAUGAUCCAGAAUCAUCAAGGAUAUAUGCAAGAAGAGAUGCAAAGGAUUGAGAAACAACCAACAAAUGAUAAUGAGACUGGUCCUACUCCAGAUGAUGUCUUAGAAGAGGUGUUUGGCGUUAGAUCUGGUUAUGUUCGUGGUAAAGGAUUAGGAUACAAAGCAAGCACUAGAGGAAUGGCAUGUGGUUCUAGAAAUGAGGAAUUAAAUGAAUUGAGAGACGAGGUAGCAAGGUUGAAUGCUCCUUUGAAGGAACAAGAACAACGCAAUAAUGAGAUAGCACAACUAAUUGCUUGACUCAAGGAACAAGAAGAGCGCAAUUUGGAGUUUUUUAAAAGAUUUGAGAGUGUGAUAGGAUACAAAUCAUCAGAAAGUCAGGAUAUGACAAUAGAUUAACAUAUCGAGUGAUGAAGGGUUGCAGACUAGCAAUGAAGUUGAAUUAGAGUUUGAACACUUCUAUUAUUAUGGGAGUUUUAUUUUGAAUAUUAUCAAGUAUGAACAAAUUAGGAAUAAAAGUAGGUAGAUUUAAGUUUAUUUUGCAUACUAGCUACGUGCACUUAAAAAUUACUGUUAUAUCAUACUUUAAAACUUAUGUUACGUU